UUUUUAUUACAGAGGUAAGUGUUUUAAUUCUGUUGACACUGUGUAGCUUGACUGUGACAAAUAGCACUAAUUAGUAAUACAUGUCAGUUAAAACGUAUCCUUUUUAAUUAAUCGCAAAAUAUUAUUUACACUGGUAGGAAUACAUAUUUAGUUUGAGUGUCUCAAGAAACUUUGACUGACCAACCCCAAGAUGUUUGGUAUAGGUAGGUAGGCACUGCCUACCGUACAUGUAAGUGUCACUAGCAUGUCAGAUUAGCUCCAGGCUACUGUCUGAACAUAGUGGCUGGGUGGCUGUCAUAGGCUACCAAUGCCCAUACAUUUUGCUGUAUGGUGUGUUAAUCUUUCCCUCUGUUAGAUUUAGUCAGAUUUUGUUAAUCUGGAAGUUCGGGCGAUCCCAGAAGAAAACCGAUGAGCCUCACACCCUGCAGGUUACAGUGCUAGGAAGUCAGGCCUGAGUCUGAAAUCAAACUAUCUCGCUUUUCGUAGUCUUUUGUGAAUCAAUGGGACUGUUACUUAGGCCUACCUUUCUGACCAAGUUAAUUAGAUUUACAUUUUGGGAUUCAAACAACAGGACCACCUCGUAAUAUGUAGCCUAAUGGAUAGCCUAGAGAGCAUGGUUUCAGACCUUCACAGAUUCAGAGGCGUUAUGCAACCACGUGGUUGCACUCCUCUUCCAGACACAUCACUACCACUUCACAUGGGAGAAAAGCGUGCCAACACCUCUGUUGUCCUCCAGUGUUCUGCAGUCGCGGCACCGACCAACGACACAGGUUUAUGUGUUUACCUCAGGCCUAGCCAAACAUCCUGUAUAGUCUACUCAAUAAUAGUAUUUGAAGUUCUAGUAUAUAGACAGACGUGACUAACACUGACUUAAGUGUUGCUACACUGACAAUAUGAUUUAUGUGCUGACAUCUUUUUUCUUUUUGCUCCAGGGGAUUCGCCCGGAACCCACUGACCAACUUGUGGUCAGGAAACCCAAGGUUUGGGUUAGGUGUUUUAUUUUAUACAUGGACACAUACCUCCUGAAUGCCAAGUAAAUAUGGCCGAGGGACACACACCCCAUUUCAUUUAUUUAUUUCUGUUAAAUGUAUAUAUGUAAAUUAUUUUAAUCAAAGAAUUGGAAACGAACAUUCCUGAACAUUUGUUUAAGGUAACACACACUCUGAGCACCUUUAAAACAAGACUGAAGACUUUUAUGUUUGCAUUAGUUUUCUGCUAAAUCUUAAAUACAUUGCACUUUCUAAAAAGCUUUUUUAACUUUGCCUUUAUUUUCUAUUUUAAUACUAAAAUGCCCUUUUAACUUUCUAUUUUACUCAUUUCUUUGCAUGUUUUCUUUUACACAUCUAUUACUUUAUUUUAUGACAAUGUUUAUAUGUGAAGCACUUUAAGUCUGCCUUGUGUAUGAAAAGUGCUAUAUAAAUAAAGUUGCCUUGCCUAACACACACAGAACAUUUAAUUUCUUUCUGCUAAAUGUAAAUAUGUAUAUAUGUAAAUGUAUAUUUAAGAAAAAACUGGAAACGAACAUUAAAUAAACAUUUAAAUAGGACGGACACACACACACACACAAUUUCAUUUUAAUUUCUUUCUGUUAAAUAUAAACAAAGAACAUUAAACGUUUGAAAAUGUGUUUUAAUGUGUAACACUGGGACAUCGCCCUUCACAUCUAAAGGACCUUGAUGGUUAAAAAUCAAGCAACAAUUUACCCACAGCUGAUUGACAGAGCCUGAAAGAGUCAGAGGAAUGGUCGUGUCCCAGAUAUGAUAUUCUUUGACCCUUCUGAUGGCCCUCUCCACCAAGAUUCUGAUGCCGCUUUUCCACCGCACAUGUAGCUCGACUCGACACGACUCGACACGACACGACUCGACACGGUAGCACCACGGGUGCUUUUCCACCGCAAAUAGUACCUCCUGGACGUGGGCGGGGUCGGCUGCGCGAAAGGGCCGUGACGUAUUUUUGUAUGCGACGCAAACAAGACCUACGCAACCCACACAUGGACAGAACCCACAUAACAACAAUGGAGGACAUCGAUAACAUUACUAUUAUUAGCUGGCAUGUUGAAGAAGUUGAAGAAGUGGAAUAUAUGUUGGCUGCGGCGCUGCUAUGGCUGUUACCAGCAUGGUUGCCAUGUCGCUCUCGUAACUUCGUCACACUCUCUGGCCAAUCAGUGGCCGGCCGUCUGCCGACGUCACCUUUUAGCAUCGGCUCAGCUCGCUUGGAACCUAGAGCGAGGCGGUACUAGAAAAAGCAGCCACUUCAGGUACCAGGUACCAUGUUUUCGCGGUGGAAACGCAAAAAAUGCGAGCUGAGUCGAGUCGUGUCGAGCUGGUACCAUGCAGUGGAAAAGCGGCAUAAGUCGGGCGAUACUCUGGGUUUUUUCGGUGUCCUCUGGUGAACCUGGCGCCUCUUUUAAAUGGCGGCAUUAUGAAGGUAGCCCCAACUUCAGAAAGCACCUUGAUGACAAAGCCUUUGUCAGCCAUGGAUGCAUCUCCUGGCUGAACUCAGGAUUCCUGACUGCUGUGUGAUUUCUCUGUCUGAUAUGGAACCAGUGUACAGCUUAGAAAUGAAGGUGAUAACUCCACAUGGAGCAAUGCCAAUCAGACCUUUGAAGGUGUUGGUAUUCUUGUAGUGGGAGAAUGUUUCAGACUGGAGGGUGAGUGAUUAGGGUGCCUCACACCUGAUUUCUGUGCAGUCUAGAAUCACUCGCAUGUUAGGACAGUACUGGGCAAAAAUUAAUCUCACCCAAGAUUUAUUUCGUCCUUCGGGAAAGCGUGGAAGCUGAGGUAUGGCUGUCUACGUCCUGAUGUAGAGCAACACGGUACACUACAAGAACAACGGCGAAUGGAGGCUGCCAUUGUUGUUGCUGCUAGACACGACCGGAAGUUGGAUUACCCUACUACGUCGACCAGACCGAAGUCGAGGAGAAUGUUCAAAAUUUUUCUGGACACCUCAACAGCUGUUUUGGUGCACAGGGGUUUUGCCAAAACCCACUUUGUGAAAAGGUCUGUUGCUGUCAGAAUAAAUCUGCAACAUAAAAUGUUGUAAAUGUAGUAAUAAUCGUUAAUAGACAAUCCAUCCCUGUCACUAGUUUUCCUUUAAACCAACUAUUUUGCAUUGACUAUCUUUAAAUGUGGUUACACAUACAUCAGCCAUGCAUAAAAGCUACCUUUUGCCCUAUGCGGUAGUGGGAAGGGGACCAAUUAGGUCAACCGCAAGGUCACUCCAUGCCUUGCUGGCAUCAAUUGGAUGAAGGACAGGUGCCACAGUCUUCAUCACCUCAAGAUGCUGACAGCGGGGACAUUCAUCAACCUUUAAAGCAGAAAAGUUCCAUCAAGAUCUACUGGUAUCAUGGUAUUGCAUGAGUAUUACAAAGCAAAAAAACAAGUACUCUCAGUGUUGGGAAGGUAACUUUUAAAAUGUAUCCAUAUACAGAAUACAUGCCCAAAAAUGUAAUAUGUAACGUAUUCCGUUUCAUCACUCAAUCUGAGUAUUGUAUUCUGAAUACUUGGAUUUCUUCCACAUUGAAUUUCAUUUUACAAGUGUAGGAAUGCGGCAUCAAAUCGUGCUUACUAAACAGGCCUAUUCUGGUGUGUUCUUCUUCUUUGUUCGGCCCAAGUCUCCCUGAAAGUGAACUAUUUUAUAUAAUUUGCUGUAGUGGAACAACGACUAUAAGGCUAUGUUCAUGCGAAAGAUAUUCGCUAUUACAUCUAAAAAAAUAUUCACUGAGAUAAGUGCAUUGGUGUUGCCUAUAAAAUCAGAGAGAGAGAGAGAGAGAGAGAGAGAGAGAGAGAGAGAGAGAGAGAGAGAGAGAGAGAGAGAGAGAGAGAGAGAGAGAGAGAGAGAGAGAGAGAGAGAGAGAGAGAGAGAGAAUAAAUCCAUCUCAAUUCAGUUUCAUACCUCACCUUUCAAAAAGUACCAAAACUCAACGAUUUGUUCUCAUCCUCUCGCAAGGUUGACCAGUGGUAGGAUGCCAUGAACUUGUCCAAUGUCCUGCCUUCUGAGUUUAGGGCGGUGAUUAGGCUGUUGGUUUAGCUUCAGGUAAUGCUUUA